rnacentral:tRNA from 1 species
GGGCUCGUAGCUCAGUGGUUAGAGCGCUCGGUUCACAUCCGAGAGGUCAGAGGUUCGAACCCUCUUGAGCCCA